UUGAAUUAAAUUCUAUUUUAGCCACUGGCAAUUCUGGCAGCUUAAAACUUUCUUAGUGUCCAGCAUCACUCUUCAGUUUGCUAUGUCUUGCUCUUUUCAGCAAAAAGCUCCCUCGGUAGCUAAGAGCCGUGACUUUACUUUGACUGGCUAUGCGACAGUGAGCUUGCUGCUCUUCCCACAGACUGAGAAACUCCAGCAGCGAUAUCUUGGACAAAGACGACCUACGACAUAAGUGACACAUCACCGACUAAUGACCGCACCUGCUACGACGUAUCCCUGCGCGCAUCUGUAACACCUACCUCAGGACGAGCGCUCAUGUCUUCAAGUUUGUCACUGCGCCCGACACCGUCUUCUCUCCCUGUAUUAGACUGUCGCCAUUUUGCUGUAAAAGCACGCAGGUUGCACUCUGGACUGCAGGAGAGGGGUGUUCACGGUAGGAGGUGAACCAAGCAUAUUUGAUGGAUGGAAAUGAUACUGCUAAGCCAGGACUACAUCUCCCAGCACGCUUUAGGAUGCAAGUGUGCUUUUGUUAGGUGAUAUUUGGAAGGAUGGAGAGCACGGCUAGGUUCAUCUGAGGCUAGUCAGCAAACAUCCACAGCGACCCUUUGGCCCAAACACAACACGAGCAGGAGUCUGCAGCCCUUAUGCCAGGAUGAGUUAUUCCUUUCUGUCCCGUCUGGAGGAGACACUGCUCUGCUGCCAGGAUUUUCACUCUAGGGAGUCACUUCCUCUACACAUCUGGAUCCCUGAUCUUUUUCUUUAAUUUGUUCAUGCUCUAGGAUUAUUAGCAUUCAUCUGCAAUUCAACAUCUGUGAGCUGAUCUUUAUUCCCCCGUACUUUUUCUUCCUCUCCCCUCGAUGAUUUGGUGUCUACUCACUGGGCUUACAGGAGGCAGCCAACUCUCUCCGAGCUGCAGAUGUUUUUUGCUGCUCUGCACGAAAGAGCAGGUGGCUGCCGGACAGCAGGUAGACCGCAGCUUCCUGAAGAGGAGAGCUCUGGCAAGAGGCUUUGUACUAUUUCAAAGCAAGGUAGAACAAACACUAGAGUCAAAAAUGCAGUGUGUUAACCAAUACUCAAAAACAUUUUUGCAGGGGUAUUCUUAAGGUCUUCAUUUUUAAAAACGUAGUAUUGGUAGAUUGAUUAAAAACACGCACACUGAUACAUAAAAACCACUUUUUUGUGUGGUUUUCGGCAGCUCGUGGAUCAACUUUUAAAGUGUUCCUCUCCCACCAUUUCCUGUUUACAGGCGGAAAAUGAGGAUACAUGUGACAGUAGUCUGUCUGUGAAACUCAAGACAGCUGAUGUAAUUUCCUACAUUUAACACCCCUUAACUCACAUGCGCUAAAGUGGCCUCAACCUGGAAACAUCUGGCUCAGAUAAGAUGUACUUCACAAGCACAUUCAAAUCUCAGCCCACAAAGAAAAUAAAGAACAUUUAGUGUGUGAAGAGACCUAUUUUCCUUCAACAAAUCAACAUUUUUUUUAACAGUGUUUGAUAAGGCAGCUCCUUCCUCGCUCCGUGCAAAGAUUGCGUUUAAAAUUCGAACAAGGUUCAGGGAAAAUCUAUGUGGUAGAGCCAGCCAACAGCCUAAUUGUCAGUUGUGGCGAGUCUAAUGGUCUAAAUAUGCUUUAUAAGUGCAGGGAGAGCUUUUUGUGUGUACGCUGCAGUUUUGAUCACAACAGAGCCUGAAUUUUAACGAUUGCCCACGUGAUUACGUUUACCCCUGGGAACGGAGAUUUGGUGCAACCCGGAUACCGCACGAGCUAUAUGCUGGCACCAUUAACCGUGCAGUAUAUAGCAAAGAAGGUCCCUAGCCGCUUUGUGGCCACCGCAAGCAUGUGGUCUGCAUUUUUACACAACACACUACAUUUCCUUGGCACCGCAGCUUAUCAGAUGUUGUUAUCGGGGUUCAAUCUGUGAGACAGACCUGGGUUAAACUGGCUUAAUGUAAGAGUUUUACACUAAAUCCUGUUAUUGUCAUGAAUAAGUUUUAUCAGUUGCUCUUAAAUACUGUUUAUUUCUGAAUGUGACCACAUGGUGCAGAUAGCAUCUUUCCACUAUUUUCUUUUCUUGGCUCAGUGCUCUGCAGGCAUGCAAAUAACACAGAAAGCUGGGGAUAUGACUGUUAUCCAAAACAGAAGAAAAACAAUCACUAAUCAUCCCAGCCUAUUUCUUUAAUGUCCUCUCAGUAGAUUAAUAAUUUUAAAUAUGUGUAAUAUUCACAUCAAAACCCUUCUAUAACUGGAUUACUUAAAGAAAUGUAAGGAUUAACAUUGAAGUGUCAGGUAAAAGUUGACUCCAAGUGAUUUAUUUAUAUUUGAUCCUGGGCAAAAGUCUCGAGCCACCCUUAAUUUCUUUUUAUUUUGCUGGGAAAAUAGAAAAUACAUGCAGAGAUUUAUUGAAACAUGCAAACAUGCAGCAUAUUUUGCAUGACCACCUUUAUUCUUCAGCACAGCCUGAACUCUCUUAAGGAAGCUUCUUGUGAUUUCUUUAAAUAGCAACUAAGAAAUAAA